rnacentral:sRNA from 1 species
CCAUUGCGCCGCUAGGGUUCCGGUCGAAACGAUGUUCCGAUGCUGGUCCGAGAGCAGCAGCCGCGCGGGAGACAUCCGCACGGUACACGGCGGGAUAAAAGCCCGGGAGAG